GGCGGUGCUCACACGGCCGAGUGGCGGCGCUCGGAGAAGACGCGCAGCGUGAAGUCAGCCUCGUCGCCGGCGCGCGCCGCGCUCGGCACCACCAGAGUUGAAGCCGCGCACCCAGCGGCCCUGGAACACAUGGACGUGCCAGCCACCCCCCGCCGGGCUGGGGCCCAGCACCUCAGGGCUCAGCGAGCAGAUCUGGACGGUGUUGAAGUGGCGGAGGAAAUCCUGCAGCUCCAUCCUGCACACAGCCCGGGGGUCCGGGAGGUACCUGCAGCUGUGGGGGUCCCCUUUGUGCGCAGGAGGGGAAAGCUUGCCUGAGAGUGAAGUUAACCCAGAGCCAGGAAUAGAAAAGCACAGUUGACUGUGUCCUCUGAGCACCUGGACCCAGCCGUGCCUGAAGCUGGCGCCUAUGAGGGCAAAUGCAUUUCCUUUUGACUUGC